rnacentral:snRNA from 1 species
AUUUUUACUUGGAGCCGGGACUAGGUUGAUCACGAAUGCCUUGGUCUCAGAUGGAGGCUCGCUCUUGCACUCUGGCGGGUUGAGGCCUGCGACGAUCCCUAAUCGGGAUCGCUCAGACGCACAUUUUUGAUAGUGGGAACGUCUUCGGACGAUCCCUA